UCAAGGAUUGUAUCUGAAGAGGGAAA
rnacentral:piRNA from 1 species